rnacentral:lncRNA from 1 species
AUUCAACAUACAACCAUGUAUGCAAAUAUUGUUGGCCACGGCAUGCAACCAUCCAUGAGAAAAAAAUAAACACUCUAUUAUGUCAUAUAUACACCAUAAAUACAUUAGAAAUAAUCAAAUACAACCAUGUAUGCAAAAUUUCAAAUGCACCAUAAAUACAUUAGAAAUAAUCAAAUACAAUAAAUCAUAUGUGUUUUCAAUUCAAACUCUUAUAUUAUCAAUCGAAAUACUCAUGUCUGUAAAAUAAAAAAACCUCGUUCAAAUAUAUUGCAACCACUUCUCUCAGCAAGCAACGCGUGAAGAAUCAUCUAGUUUAUUCCAUGCUUAUGGCUCGGUAGAAAGCAUCCACACCGCAUUACGAUUUGACCCGGUGAUAUCUUUGCACGGAUCGUGCACUUCAUGUGUGUCUCCAUUCCCGUUGAUAUCGAAGAUUCGCAGCAGGUUGUCGUUACACAGCCCCAUCCAAUAGACGCA